AGUAUUGCUGACCUGCGGAAGGAUCAUUACCGAGUGAGGGCCCUCUGGGUCCAACCUCCCCACCCGUGUUUAUCGUACCUUGUUGCUUCGGCGGGCCCGCCUCACGGCCGCCGGGGGGCAUCCGCCCCCGGGCCCGCGCCCGCCGAAGACACACAAACGAACUCUUGUCUGAAGAUUGCAGUCUGAGUACUUGACUAAAUCAGUUAAAACUUUCAACAACGGAUCUCUUGGUUCCGGCAUCGAUGAAGAACGCAGCGAAAUGCGAUAAGUAAUGUGAAUUGCAGAAUUCAGUGAAUCAUCGAGUCUUUGAACGCACAUUGCGCCCCCUGGUAUUCCGGGGGGCAUGCCUGUCCGAGCGUCAUUGCUGCCCUCAAGCACGGCUUGUGUGUUGGGCUCUCGCCCCCCGCUUCCGGGGGGCGGGCCCGAAAGGCAGCGGCGGCACCGCGUCCGGUCCUCGAGCGUAUGGGGCUUCGUCACCCGCUCUGUAGGCCCGGCCGGCGCCCGCCGGCGAACACCAUCAAUCUAACCAGGUGACCUCGAUCAGUAGUG
rnacentral:rRNA from 1 species